GACGAACCGUGCGAACGUUGUUCGGAAUCACUGGGCUUAAAGGGCGCGUAGGCGGCUUGCCAAGUCAGGGGUGAAAUCCAGCAGCUUAACUGUUGAAGUGCCUUUGAUACUGGCGAGCUCGAGGGAGGUAGGGGUCUGUGGAACUUCUGGUGGAGCGGUGAAAUGCGUUGAUAUCAGGAGGAACACCUGUGGUGUAGACAGCUUACUGGACCACUUCUGACGCUGAGACACGAAAGCGUGGGUAGCAAACAGG
rnacentral:rRNA from 1 species